rnacentral:rRNA from 1 species
AACGAACGCUGGCGGCAGGCCUAACACAUGCAAGUCGAGCGAAGCCUUCGGGCUUAGCGGCGGACGGGUGAGUAACGCGUGGGAACGUGCCCUCUGGUACGGAAUAGCCCCGGGGAACUGGGAGUAAUACCGUAUGUGGUCGAGAGACGAAAGAUUUAUCGCCAAAGGAUCGGCCCGCGUUGGAUUAGGUAGUUGGUGGGGUAAUGGCCUACCAAGCCGACGAUCCAUAGCUGGUUUGAGAGGAUGAUCAGCCACACUGGGACUGAGACACGGCCCAGACUCCUACGGGAGGCAGCAGUGGGGAAUCUUAGACAAUGGGGGAAACCCUGAUCUAGCCAUGCCGCGUGAUCGAUGAAGGCCUUAGGGUUGUAAAGAUCUUUCAGUGGGGAAGAUAAUGACUGUACCCACGGAAGAAGCCCCGGCUAACUCCGUGCCAGCCGCCGCCGUAACAC